GACGUAGGGCGCGAGCGUUGUCCGGAUUUAUUGGGCGUAAAGAGCGUGUAGGCGGCCAGGUAGGUCAGCUGUGAAAACUCGAGCUUAACCUCGAGACGCCGGCUGAAACCCUCUGGCUAGAGUCCGGAAGAGGAGAGCGGAAUUCCUGGUGUGAGCGGUGAAAUGCGCAGAUAUCAGGAAGAACACCCGUGGCGAAGGCG
rnacentral:rRNA from 1 species